CAGCACCUCAAGUGGUCAGGAUGAUUAUUGGGCCUAAAGCAUCCGUAGCCGGCGCUGUAAGUUUUCGGUUAAAUCUGUACGCUCAACGUACAGGCUGCCGGGAAUACUGCAAAGCUAGGGAGUGGGAGAGGUAGACGGUACUCGGUAGGAAGGGGUAAAAUCCUUUGAUCUAUUGAUGACCACCUGUGGCGAAGGCGGUCUACCAGAACACGUCCGACGGUGAGGGAUGAAAGCUGGGGGAGCAAACCGGAUUAGAGACCCGAGUAGUCC
rnacentral:rRNA from 1 species